UACGUAGGGGGCAAGCGUUGUCCGGAAUCAUUGGGCGUAAGAGCGUGUAGGCGGCCAGAUAAGUCCGCUGUGAAAUCUCGAGGCUCAACUUCGAGCUGUCGGUGGAAACUGUCUGGCUAGAGUCCGGAAGAGGAGAAUGGAAUUCCUGGUGUAGCGGUGAAAUGCGCAGAUAUCAGGAAGAACACCCGUGGCGAAGGCGGUUCUCUGGGACGGUACUGACGCUGAGACGCGAAAGCGUGGGGAGCGAACAGG
rnacentral:rRNA from 1 species